AACCUAAAUAUAAAUAAUUUAACAACUUAAAUUAGAAAAAAAUAAAAAUCCCGGGCGUAGCCCGGGUUAAUCCCUAGUCUAAUUAUAUAAAAAAGAGUUGAUUCUCUCCUGGUGAAGCCACAUAGGCAGACAGGUCAGAAAUUCACACAUCCAGAAGCUGCCACGUGUCACCUAUUAAUGAAACUCGGCGUUUUGUUAAGACACAAAACGAAAUGGGCUUUUCGUUUGUUACGUAUUGGGGGUCUGAAUUUGGAACAUGUAUCCGACCCGGAUGGAUGGGAUUCUCCCCCUUGCCCUAAUUGCACGAUUGAAGAUUUGCAUAUCAUCUCUCCCGGCCUGCAGCGACUGACCACGAAGAGUCCAAGAUAUCUCAACAAUGGCUCAUACUUCUUAGGGUUCCUUCCCUUUGAUUUAGGAGUUGCAAGGCAGCCGUCAGCAUCGGUUCGUCGGUUCAGAUUACACCGACUCCAGACACUUCCGCGUAACAGCUGCAUCUAUCAUUCACUCGCCACAUUAAAAGCCAAUUACGUAAUUCUCCCACUCACUCUAUCGCAUUCAAUCGACUUCACCGUCAUUACGUUCAAAGCAUAAAUCUGUGAUGAACAGCAUCACCUCAAUCAAAUCAAAUAUACUUUCUCUGUUAAGCACCAUCUCCAUCCAUGGCAACCUCACAACUUCUGCUUAGUGUGAGAUUCUGGGUGGCACGCAAUGUCAAGAAAGGCAACAAGUGGGGUGUGGACAUGCUCCUAGGACGAGAGGUAACACCGAGAACUUUCAUAACAGCUUUUCUUCUAAGACGCACCAGCUGGUAAAGUGCUCAUCAACUACUAAUUUAGGAGCCCGAUGAGUUUACAAAGUACAUCAAACGAGAGGAUGUGAUCUCCAUGAUGUUCAAGCAUAUUUGCAGAUGCUAAAAGACGUCGACUGUUACGAUGGAGAAGACAGUGUCAGUCAGGAGAAGGUGAAUCUAAUAUAUACAUUUUGGAAACCGAGUAUUACCAUGUUUACUAUAGUUUUUUCCGUUCGUAUAUACAUUUUAUGCAAGUCCUCAGACGUGAACUGGAUAUGGUGAAGAGAGAAAAAAAAGAAAAGAAAGAAUUCCUCUCUAACUUCUUCAAGGACGAUAACGAGGAUAUUGUAGGAGGAGUGUUUCAGCUCAAACAGUCACUACACGAGUUCUUAAGGUGCAGAAUUGGUAAUGGUCGAACAGCUUCCUUCUGUUACGAUAGCUGGACUGAGUUAGGGCCAAUGGGAAUCUCUUGGGUCCUGCGGAAUCAAUGCAAUUUUGCAUACAGUGGAAUGGACUGUUACAAGAGCAACACAUCUUGGAAAUUGUACUUUCCUCCCGUACAUUUUCUGAAUGCAGAAACUACAUCAGAUUCUUAUGCGAUGAUGUGUAUUUGUGGCGAGGUCCUGCUAGAAAUUUCUUGAACAGAUUCUUCUCCAAAGUGGCAUGGUAACGGUUUAGACAACCUGCACCUGUUGUUUCUUGGCAUACUACGGUUUGGUUCAAGCAAGAAACCCCAAGCUGUUCUUUUAUCAAUUGGACAGCUAUGUCAUCUAGACUUCCACUUAGAGAUAGGCUGUUGUCUUAGUGUUUGACGGUCCUGGCAAGUUGUGUUCUAUGUACGGACGGCACAUAAUCUCAUCAAUAUCUCAUCUUCCACUGUUCUUUCGCGGUUGGAUUACGGAACAGAUUCACAGGGAACCAGCUAGACAUCGUCCCGUUAGACUUGGUGGACCCUCAUCACCGGACAGUGCAAACAUCUUCAAGCUGCUACUGCAAGUCAUCACGUAUAAUAUGUGGAGAGAACGUAACUGCAGGAUUUUCAGACAAACUUAUUCUUCUCCGGAGGUGGUUUCAGGAUAAUUGAUCGAUCAAUGAAAGACGAGCUUCUCUCCAAUCUGCCUAUGUCGUCUAUGCUGGAGCUCUAAUUCUGCUUCAGUGCACCUUUCAGCUAAGGAUGUUCACUCUCACUCUGUUUUUCAUUUUCUUUGUUGUUCAUUUUCCAGGUUCUCUUGAAAAUUUGUAGUGAUAACUAUUGGUUUCUUUUUUAUUUUUCCUGUGAUGGUAACACUAGCAAAUAUUUUGUAAAUAUCAACUAUAAAAUGAAGCACUCUCAAUCAUUCUUUUAACGAAGCGAUAA